UAUAGCACCUCCCAUGUACUGGCCGUACCCGUACCGGCUGUAUCGAGCGGAAAGAAAGAACGGACGAGGUGGAUGGCCUGAUUGGUGGAAGCCUCGCGCAUUCCGCGUCCCCAGUCCCGAUUUCCGAACCCUAAUUUUUUUCUGCCAACCUUUCACCAUCCAAACGAGCGCCCAGUCGCUUCACCGCGCGGCCUCGUCCAUCCCCAAAUUGCUGCCCUCCUCUCUGCUUCUCCUCGAUUGGGUCCUCCGAAACUUGAGCAACAAGAUGCUCCACUCGUGGAGAAAUCUGGACCAUGUUCCCCGAUCUGCUUAUCAAUCCUGGAUCAUGGCCCAGAACAUCAUGGGAGUAAAAGACAAGAAGAAAUGGGGUAAACCGAAUUGGCUCUGCCACAUCACCGAAGAGAUAAGUAGAGAAGCAAAGAGGUGGGGAACCAAGGAGGUCCUUGUUAGACAUCCCGCCGACAAUGUAAGAUCGACCUUCAUCUUUAAGAACAGCAGCCAUCGGGAUGGUGCUAUAUACAAGAGAAGCUUUGCUCUUCGAAAAUUAUGUCGUGUUACUGACCGUGAUGAGAGACUUGUUGGGUGAAGCUAGGCAUUAUUCAAGUGGCAGAUACAAAACAGAGUACAAACCAAAGGGUGUUUUGGGAAGUGCUCCAAAUACAGAGAAAGUGCAGCUUGAUGAUAAAAGCAAAUUUGAUCAAAAGAUUGCAGCACUCAAAGCCAUGCACAGAGAAAAAGGGCUAUGUUUCAAAUGCGGUGAUACUCCCUCCGUACCAAAAUAAGUGUCUCAACUUUGUACUAGCUUUAAUACAAAGUUGUACAAAGGUUAAGACACUUAUUUUGGGACGGAGGGAGUAUAAAAUAUCAUCGUGGCUAGAAAUGCCUGCACUCAGUUCAACUGGAACUGAUUGAAGAUUUGCUGCAUCUGCUGGAAGGAGCUCACCCAGCUACUCUUGGUGAAGAAAAUGCUUCGCAACAUGAAUCAUCUUCUGAAAGUGAAGAGGAAGGGUUGAUCAUAUUUCUCCAUGAGCUGUAGCAGGCACUGCUCAUCGUAAAACGAUCUGAUUGCAAGGAGUUUUAUGUGGGCAGCAGGUGCUGAUUUUGGUUGACUUAGGGAGCUCUAAUAACUUCUUCAGCAGUCACACUGUACAAAGGCUUCAGUUACCCAGGCACGAGGCACCACCUGCAAUUGUGGCCAUUGCAAAUGGGGGAGAUUGCAAAGCAAAGCUGUGGUGCCAAAGCUGUAUGGACAUGCCAGGGUCACACCUUCACAACAGAAUUACGUGUGCUCGAUCUCGGAUCUUAUGAUAUUAUACUCAGCAUGAAUUGGUUAUCUGGAAUUGGUGCCAUGUGGGUGAAUUGGUUAAGAAAACCAUGCGGUUUGGAUACAAUGGUGUAUGCAUCACUCUUAAAGGUCUCAAAGACAAUGUGAGCAAGUGUUAUGAAAUGUCUGCGGUGCAACUUUCCGAAGGUGAUUCAGAAAGGAGAAUUGGCACAUCUCAUUCAGUUAUGCAUGGUGUUUGACGAAACUAAACCAACUGAAACACUGUCUCAUACGGUAGUAGCCUCGGUCGGAUUUCAGUCACCAGUUGCUGUUGGAAACAGACGCGUGUGAUGCUGGGAUAGGCUCGGUGCUAAUGGAAAGAGGCCAUCCAAUGGCGUUUCUCAGCAAGGCGCUUGGGGCGAGGAAUAAGCUCUAUAGACAUACAACGAGGAAUCAUCUUGCUAUCUUACUGGCAAUUGACAAAUGACGCUCAUAUUUAUAGGCUGGGGAGUACACAUAUCAUCGUAGUCUGAUACAUUUGGUGGAUCACAAAGCAAAUACUCCUAUGUAACAAAAGGGUUUUAUCGCUUACUAGGAUUCCAGUACAAGAUCAUGUAUAAAAAAUGGCUGGACAAUACCGCAUCAGAUGCUUUGUCAUGCUGAGAACAUUCAGAGGAACUAAAUGCUCUAUCUUCUGUCCAGCCACGCUGGUUGGGGAUCAUAGGAGAAGGUUAUCAGCUCCAAUGCCCAAGCCCAACAAUUGCUGGCCGAAUUAGCCCUAGCCAGCCCUACUGUGCAAGGGUUUUCUCUUCAACAAGGCAUCAUCAAGCUGAAUGGAAGACUUUGGCUAGGAAGUCACAAAGAAGCGCAUGAAGCCGUGUUACUGGCACUCCAUAACAGUGCCUGGAAACGUUUCUGAGGUGCUUUGUUGCUGGAAAUCCGAAGAGAUGGUCGCAAUGGCUGCCACAAGCUGAAUUUUGCUACACCAUAUCAUUUCAUUCUGCAGUGGGCACUCUCAAUUUGAAGUGCUCUAUGGGCAUAAGCCGUGGUAUUUUGGUAUUCAACAACCAGUUCUGUCAGCUGUCCUGAAUUUGCAAAGUUAUUCGUCAACACUUACACGGGCCCAACAGCGGAUGCAGCGACAGGCUGAUAAAAAGUGUACAGAACAGCAAUUCACUUUAGGUGACUAUGUUUUCCUACUACGACUGUAUGUUCAACAAUCCGUGACGCAACGGACAUCUCACAAGCUAUCGUUCAAGUUCUUCGAACCAUAUCAAGUGAUGCAGAAAAUGGGUGCUGUGGCUUACAAAUUGCAACCGUCUCCAUCCAGCCACAUCCAUCCAGUGAUCCAUGUGUCACAACUUAAGAAGGCACUGUGUCUAAGGUUCUCUCAUUGAGAUGACUGGCCCUAAGCGAGGCAUCGCAAUGAAUUCCCCUGUUCUAGUUGAAUUUGACAUGAGGAUCAAGACAGGAGAUAAAGAAGAAGAUGAUCUAACAUUGAUCGACGGCGCAACAGAUUAUUGUAACCUAACCAUACCUUCUGUGUCAUUCACAAAUCGCAUUAAUGGCGAUUGUGGUGCGGUUGACAUCACUUUAGCACGCAUUUACAAUGCAGUGGAAGCCACAAUAGAUGUCCUCAUAUUGAAAGUGCAGAAUGGAUUCAAUUUAUCGCUCAGUUCGUUUGUGCUUGUCGGCGGAUCAGAUCAGGAAAUUCCGCUCUUUCGUGGCACUACUGCUGAGUCAUGUGGCUUAAGAAGAUACGUGAUUGCUGUAAAGAUGGAUACUUGGAUGCAGUUGAAGUUCAAGGUAAGUCAGAACGGCUCUAAAAAUGAUCAUCUUGAACGCAGUUGCUACUUCAAAGCAAACAUUCAUGGAUGUGCCUGUCAACAAAUAGUGCUUCAGCAUGCCGCCCUCUCUGUGAAGGUGACUUGGUCGACCGUGCCAGCAUAAAGUCAUCGUGUUUCAAAUUCGAAUUUAAGUUGCAGUAUUUGAUCUUGGACUUGGUCUGUGUAAUUUUCGUUUUUUGAGAAACAGAUAUAUUUUACUCUGCAUUGGAUGGAUGUUUUAGUUAAUUUUUGUGUGCUAGAAGUCAGUAUUGUACGCACCUUCACUAGUUCAGUGAAAAGCAGGCAAUGUGUUGUACAUGUUCCCUAAGCAUGGCUUAUCUUUACUUGGAAGAUAGUAUCAGGUUUUGAUUUUGCAGU